GGGGAAUCUUCCGCAAUGGGCGAAAGCCUGACGGAGCAACGCCGCGUGAGGGAUGAAGGCCUCUGGGCUGUAAACCUCUUUUAUCAAGGAAGAAGAUCUGACGGUACUUGAUGAAUAAGCCACGGCUAAUUCCGUGCCAGCAGCCGCGGUAAUACGGGAGUGGCAAGCGUUAUCCGGAAUUAUUGGGCGUAAAGCGUCCGCAGGCGGCCCAACAAGUCUGCUGUUAAAAAGUGGAGCUUAACUCCAUCAUGGCAGUGGAAACUGUUGGGCUAGAGUGUGGUAGGGGCAGAGGGAAUUCCCGGUGUAGCGGUGAAAUGCGUAGAUAUCGGGAAGAACACCAGUGGCGAAGGCGGCUCUCUGGACCGCAACUGACGCUGAGGCGCGAAAGCUAGGGGAGCAAAUGGGAUUAGAUACCCCAGUAGUC
rnacentral:rRNA from 1 species